UAGGAGGACCUCACUUUUGGUAUUCUAGUAUUUAUCAAGCUUUAGAUCUUGAUGAAGAAGAAAUGGCUACACUAUCUGAUGCGCAAGCAUCAAUUAAAAUAAAUGCUCAAACUGUUUAUAAUGCUUAUAAACAGGCGUUAGAGCAUGCUAGGCCAAAUAGUCCAACCCCAACUUCGUCCACAUCACAGGCGUCUAAAAGAGCUGC
rnacentral:lncRNA from 1 species